CCACGAGAGUUUGUAACACCCGAAGUCGGUGAGGUAACCUUUAUGGAGCCAGCCGCCUAAGGUGGGACAGAUGAUUGGGGUGAAGUCGUAACAAGGUAGCCGUAUCGGAAGGUGCGGCUGGAUCACCUCCUUUCUAAGGAUAAUUACGAGAGCGCUUUUGUUUUGUUCAGUUUUGAAUGAGUAAUUCAUUCAAAUAGGAAAGACAGUCAUCACGAUGUGAUGGAUUCUUUCUGCUUUGUUCCUUGAAAACUAGAUAAUAGAUAGAAGGCAAUUAAUUUUUUUCAAAGCAUCUGUAAGAUCUUUUUUAACGGUUAAGUUAGAAAGGGCGCACGGUGGAUGCC
rnacentral:misc_RNA from 1 species